AUUGAACGCUGGCGGUAUGCCUAACACAUGCAAGUCGAACGAGGUAGCAAUACCUAGUGGCGGACGGGUGAGGAAUACGUAGGGAUCUGCCCUUAAGUGGGGGAUAACCCGGGGAAACCCGGAUUAAUACCGCAUGAUCUCGCAAGAGCAAAGAGGGGGACCGCAAGGCCUCUCGCUUUUGGAGGAACCUACGUCGGAUUAGCUAGUUGGUGAGGUAAUGGCUCACCAAGGCGACGAUCCGUAACUGGUCUGAGAGGAUGAUCAGUCACACCGGAACUGAGACACGGUCCGGACUCCUACGGGAGGCAGCAGUGGGGAAUAUUGGACAAUGGGCGAAAGCCUGAUCCAGCAAUACCGCGUGUGUGAAGAAGGCCUUCGGGUUGUAAAGCACUUUAAGUUGGGAAGAAAAAGCUUCACCUAAUACGUGAAGCCUUGACGGUACCGACAGAAUAAGCACCGGCUAACUCUGUGCCAGCAGCCGCGGUAAUACAGAGGGUGCUAGCGUUAAUCGGAUUUACUGGGCGUAAAGCGUGCGUAGGUGGUUUGAUAAGUCUGAUGUUAAAGACCGGGGCUCAACCUCGGAAAUGCAUUGGAUACUGGCAGACUGGAGUGCAGUAGAGGCUAGUGGAAUUCCCAGU
rnacentral:rRNA from 1 species